CCUACGGGAUGCAGCAGUCGAGAAUCAUUCACAAUGGGGGAAACCCUGAUGGUGCGACGCCGCGUGGGGGAAUGAAGGUCUUCGGAUUGUAAACCCCUGUCAUGUGGGAGCAAAUUAAAAAGAUAGUACCACAAGAGGAAGAGACGGCUAACUCUGUGCCAGCAGCCGCGGUAAUACAGAGGUCUCAAGCGUUGUUCGGAAUCACUGGGCGUAAAGCGUGCGUAGGCUGUUUCGUAAGUCGUGUGUGAAAGGCGCGGACUCAACCCGCGGACGGCACAUGAUACUGCGAGACUAGAGUAAUGGAGGGGGAACCGGAAUUCUCGGUGUAGCAGUGAAAUGCGUAGAUAUCGAGAGGAACACUCGUGGCGAAGGCGGGUUCCUGGACAUUAACUGACGCUGAGGCACGAAGGCCAGGGGAGCGAAAGGGAUUAGAUACCCCGGUAGUC
rnacentral:rRNA from 1 species